CGAGCACCGCCGCCUACCCGCGGGCCCGGCAGAUUAAACGCGGAUUGCCGGCACAGCGUGCUGCUGGAAGGGUUCUGCUCCAGCGUUCGAGCUGAUUAUACUUGGAAGGACUGAUAAAUGGCGAGAUGCCCACCAUGGUAAAACAACCUGUGCUGCUUCUGAGUUUGGACAAUUUACAUCCGUAUUACUAGUUCUGGUCCUGCAAGUAUGAGAGAAGAAACACACAGACCCCCUUCCAGCACUUUUCAGUAAACCACUGCAAUCUUAAUUUGUAGCAUCAUGGUUUUGCCUGCCUUUUCAGAUUGUUAAGAGGUCAGUUUUCCAGAUUUUCUAUACAUUUCGAUAUUUUCCAUCCACAAGGGAUGAAGUCAUCCUCACACCUCUUUCAGAUGUGCUGCAUUAGCGUAUCCAGCUUCCUUCGUAAAGUCUGUCACGCCGCACAGCAGCUGAUAAAAUUGCUUUACGUUGUCCUCUGCCUAUAAACACGUCUAAUCCCGUGUGUGUGAAUAUAUUAUUUCUGUCUCCUAAUCUGUAUUCCCCUGCACCACACGCAGAGUAUUCCAAGUAUACCACGUGAAAACAAGAUUAAGCUUUCAAACUAGAAACGUAGCAAACACACAGUAGGAAAGCCUGCACGACUACUUUAAGAUUAGUAUGCAAAGAGACAACUGUGUCUGCACCUUCCCUCUAUCUCUCAAACAUACAAAGUUUAAAAAGCCAGGAUUUCAGUUUGUAUUAAAAGUCAGCAUUUAUCUGCUCUAAAAAGAUUUGAGUCAAGAGACAAGUGUUAACGUUUUUCAAGAAGCAAAUAAAUUCCAAUCCCACAAAUACUGAGAAACGACUAAGAGAAAGGACUAGUUUUAGUUUUCAAAUAGACGUUCAGUAUCUGCUUAUUUUCAAAGUUCAUUGAAGAUUCAAGACCCUCUCCCCCCCACGCAUCACUAGACAUCCAAAUUAGUUCUUGAGUUUAAAAAGGAAGCAGUAUAAGGCUCAACAUCUAUUUGUUUUU